rnacentral:rRNA from 1 species
UUUAACGGCCGCGGUAUUUUGACCGUGCAAAGGUAGCAUAAUCAUUAGUCUUUUAAUAGAGGGCUGGUAUGAAGGGUUUGACGAGGUGUUGACUGUCUCAUUUAAUUUGUUUUUAAAAUUUAAUUUUUUAGUUAAAAGGCUAAAUUAUUUUUGGAAGACAAGAAAACCCUAUAAAGCUUUAUAUUUUUAUUAUUAAUUNAUUAUGGUUUAUUAUUAUUUAUUAUUAAUGAAAGUAUUUUGUUGGGGUGACAAAAAUAUAUAAUUAACUUUUUUAUUUUAUUUACAUUGAUAUAUGAAUAUUAGAUCCACUCUUAUUGAUUGUUAGAUUAAGUUACCUUAGGGAUAACAGCGUAAUCCCUCCCCAGAGUUCAUAUUUACAGGAGGGCUUGCGACCUCGAUGUUGGAUUAAGAUAAUAAUUAGGUGCAGCCGCUUAAUUAAUAGGUCUGUUCGACCUUUAAAUUCUUACAUGAUCUGA